GUGGCUUCCGUUCCUUUGAAAGGCUGGGAUUACUUCCUGAAUUCGGACCAACCAGAACUGGCUUGAAGAAGCAGGCAGUUAGCCCCGGGGAUACUUACAUGCUGCUGCUUGACUCUGGUGAUUCUUGCUCACUGGACCAUACCCACCUUUCCAAUUGGCUGGUUCCCAGGGAUGCAUCCACUCCUGCCUGGGAGACUGUGGCCUGCCUUGCCCAGUCAUUCAUCUGUUAGAGUGGUUGGACCUCUUCUCAGCCCUGAUCAAGGGCCCCACUCGAACCCCCUAUGAAGAUGGCCUCUACCUGUUCGACAUCCAGCUCCCCAACAUCUACCCAGCUGUGCCCCCCCCCG